AUCAAUCUCAAGGGAAAUGUCAAAUUUGUAACUGAACCAGUCAUACAACUCCAAACUGCUACAACCGUCUCAAUCUCAAAAAAAUCCCACCUUCGCACCAGAGACGGCUCAUGGCUACCGGUGCUGGUACAUCACCAUCUGCGAAUUUGGUCACAGCUAGAGGAACUGGGGCUCGAUGUGGUACCCCGAUGCCAGGGCUACACACCAUGUAACAGCUCGGUCUGAGAACAUUCGAGGUGCUCGCUCCACGGAUGGUAAUUCCAUUCUUUGUUAUGGGUUUAAUGAAUUCUGUCUCAAUAAUGUCUUAUUGGUUCCACAAGCAACACAAAAUUUGUCAUCCGUUCAACGAUUUUGUGCUAAUAAUAAAUUAUCUCUUGAAUUUGAUGAGCAAAAGGUGAGGGUGGUUGAUCCAGCUACAGGUCGGGUGGUCCUUGAAGGGGAGGAUGUAUGAGAUCUUUGUCAACGAGUGUUAUCCUUAACCGUGGGUCCAAGUCAAUCAAAAUAAAAAAAUUUCCAUGUGCUCGACGUUUCAAACCCAUUCCUUCAGGGUUUGAGACGGCCGGACGAGUCCAACCUGUUCUCUGAGACUAGAAUGACUCCUGACAUGCUCCGUACUCAGCCCUAACUAUGAUUACAAUUAUUAAUAUAAGGAUAUUUGGAGAAGUUGAAAUGUGGAUAUUUAGAUUUUUUUCAUUUUUUUUCCUGGUUCCAAUCGACCCUGCAGCACAACCUCGUUCGAGUCGACCUUGCCCCAUGUGCGAAUUCAGCUGCUUGAGUAAUAUAGUAUCUGAUUGAAAUGAAUUAAAUAUAGUAUAUGAUGCUUCCUACAUGUUUUCCAUGUUGCUAAUAAACUUUACAAGACUGGAUUGGGUCUUGAUUGCAUGAAAUGAGGUUGCUGUGCAUAUUAUAUUAAUAACCUCAUCCCAUGUGCAAAUGUGUAAUACUAUUCCACCCAAACCAAUUUUGUUAAAAAGUCUGCGGCAUGUAUCACUUAGAUUUUUUUGGAGGAAUUAAAUAUUUUAUUUCUAUUGGAAUUAGUAAACUUUAAACUUUACAACUGUUUGGAUUCUACUGGAAUUGGGUUCUAUCGUUAAUUUGUGAUAGAUUCUACUAGAAUUGGGUUCUUUUUUCUGUUUAUAAAUUAUUCUUAUUUUCUGUUUAUUAAUUGUUCUUAUUUUCUUUGAUAUUCUUCUUCUUUCUUAUUAUUCUGCUUAUAAAUUGUUUUUUUCUGAUUUUUUAAAGUUGACUACGCUUGCGGGUUAGAGAUUUGUCAUUUGUCGGAAGCUUAAAAAGAUCUUCAAUACCAAGGUUUUGUUACUUUUUUAUUAUUUUUAGAAUUGAUGGAUUUAUAAUUUUAUGCAUUAUUUCUUAUAUAAUUUUAUAGUUGGAUUUAGGAAUGUAGGAUUGUAUUCUUAGAUUUAAAAUGAAUCUUAAUUUUUAAAUUACA
rnacentral:lncRNA from 1 species